GACAGUGACGGAGGAGAUUGAUA
rnacentral:siRNA from 1 species